AAUAAAUUAAAAAGUUAUUAUUACGUAGAUAUGGAUAUACGUUAUAAUACGUUCUUUACCUCUGAAGUUUUCUCACUCUCACACUCUCGGUCUCAUCUGUUCCCUCUCACUCUCACAGUCUCGAUCCUCUCUUCCUUUCUAAACUCUCGAUCCUCCAUGCCGUGCUUUUCACACUCCUCCUCUGCGACGUGCUAGGGUUGCCAUUUUCUCGUCUCCUCCACCAAUGUCCACCACGUCGUGCUUACUAUGAGAACACUCCUCCUCUGCGAUGCGUUAGGGAUUUUCUCGUCUCCUCCACCAACGCCCACCACACCGUGCUUUUCUUAGUCUGAGAACACUCCUCCUCUGCGACGUGCUAGGGGCGGCCAUUUUUUCGUUUCCUCUACCAACUCCCACAAUCGUCUCUGAGAACCCUAACUCUAUGAUCUCAGUGGUAUCGUCGCAACUGGAACCGACUAAGAGGAAACAGAAGCGACUGAGGAAGUACGACACAUCAAAGCAAGCUCUUGCCGGUAUGUCGUCGUCUCAAUCGUUCUCUGCGGACAAGAAGCCCCACUUACCAACGUUCCCUUCUUCCUCAUCUUUCACGUCCAAGAAAUCCGAUUCCUUUACUCUAGAUAAUGAUUGGUAAAAAUGCAGAGGGAAUUUGAGAUAUACCCAUACUGUGCAAUGGCUCUGAAUUAUCUUGUAAAUCAUUUCUUCUUCACUGGUCAACAUUUUUUAGUUGAGCAACUGACUGAAACUGCAUUGGCUGUUACCAAUCAUGAGCCAACAAAGUCUCACUCAUACUACAAUUUAGCACGCUCAUACCAUAGCAAGGGAGACUAUGACAAAGUUGGGGUGUAUUACAUGGCAUCAGUUAAGGAAGUCAACAAGCCCCACGAAUGUCUUUCCUUAUUAUGGUCAAUUGCUCCAUGAUAUUUGAAACUCUUUACCAUUUCUGCAACUUUGAAAGUACAUUUAUUAGAUACGAAGCUCCAUUACUGUAAAAUCUUCAUUGCUUACAUGGUUAGCAGAUAUGCUGAUUCUGUACCUGCCUAUUUUUGACAGUUUAAUAGUUGAUGUUUAUUGUGUUAGAGACAAGGAAUAGGAGAGCAAAUAUAUUGCUUUGUUUCAAACAAAUGAAAACUACCAACAACGCUUUUCAAAAUUGAACCUGCACCAUAACCAAGCUUAAUCCAAAUCUUAAAACAUUUGGCAUAGAAAAUUCACUUAGUUAAAGCAAAACAGAUUACUUAGUUAAAACAUUUGGCAUAAAAAAAACACUUAGUUAAACUGGAACUGAUUUAUAGAUCCAUUUUUGGUGAUAAUUAUUUUAAAUAUGAAAUACAUUAUAUUGGGGAGAAUAAAUGUUAAAGCAUGAUAAAUUUAUAAAACCUAUAAUCUAAGAACCAUAAUGAGGUUAUAGGUUAUUUUAUCUUCAUGCAGAUAAAAACAUUUUGCGUUAAUAUCUUGGUUUUUGUUAGAGACAAGGAAUAGGAGAGCAAAUAUAUUGUUCUGUUUCAAUCAAAUGAAAAGUACAUUUUAUCUACCCUUGUAGAAGAACAUCUCGACGAAAAAUUACAAAGCAUGAAGAAGUGAAAUUAAAUUGAGCACCUAAAAAGGAAUUAAUGUAAGGGAAUUCUCUCUAGGAUAUAGAAUUUAAAGGAAUCUAAUUCACAAAUUAUGGUUGUAGCAUGGCCUAGAGUCAUCAAUACACAUCCAGCAAAAUAGUCAUGACAUACACAUUAAAGAAUUUGAUAAUGUGACUUGAGAAUGACUAUGUUAUUCAUGAGUCUACAAUUGGACAGUUGGACUAUUUUCUUUUGUGUUUUAGUUGUCUUAUUACUUUUAAAGAACUUAUUUUAUGGAAAUAAUUAUGACUGUUUGUACUAUUGGGAGUCACCCUUGAGUUUUCUGAUUUUGUUUGAUGCGUGAUUUAGAAGUUAUUUUCAUUAUCUAUGAUAUUUUUUUAUAAAUUAGUGUGUUUGAUUUUUCACUUUAGUAGAUUCUCACAAUCUAUUUUACUAUCCCACAACUAUCUCUCUCCACCAUCGGUUUCCUAUAUGAAAUCUUCAUUUUGACAACAUUGGUUCAAUUUGAAACACUCAUUGCUUCAACAUCGCUCACCUAAUUCACUGUUUUAAUCACUAACGUUUCCAGGUCUGGGACAAGUGCAGAUAAAGUUGGGAGAUUUUAAAAGUGCAUUCUCAAACUUUGAAAAGGUCCUAGUGGUAUACCCAUAAUUGUGAGACAUUGAAAUUAAGUUCGUCAAAUCGAAAGAAAUUUUACUUUCCCCCUUUUUUGUGUCAUUUCUCUUUCUAGGGCUUAAAUGCUUUUGCAGCAACAUAAGAGUCGCGUAACAUCUGUCACUGGAUCUUCUUUCUUCCUUCUCUUAUAUUGUUGUGUUGAUAUAUUGUCUUUUUUAUAGGCGCUUGGGCAUAUAUAUGUUCAGCUUGGUCAAAUCGACAAAGGCCAAGACUUUAUUAGGAGAGCUACAAAAAUUGAUCCGCUUGAUGCCCAGGUAGUCGUUGAGAGUGGCAAUAAAGAGCAGUCCGCUUGUAGAACUAAUUUUAAGUGAUGUAAGAUUAAAUAAAUCACUUGUAUAUGUCUAUACAUUGUCUUCAUAGAUUAGGCUCCUUAUGAUUUGGAAUCAUCCAAUAAUUAAAGGACUGAAGGAUAAGAUAGACUAGAUAGUUAGUUUAAGUCAUCCAUGACUUCUGAUUUCAUGUAACAUUUGGAAGGUAUUGUCUGAUCCAUCUAACUGACGGUACCAAUUGUAAUAAUAAAUUUCAUUUGAUGUCAA